rnacentral:rRNA from 1 species
CCUACGGGGGGCAGCAGUGGGGGAUAUUGCACAAUGGGGGAAACCCUGAUGCAGCGACGCCGCGUGAGGGAAGAAGGUUUUCGGUAUGUAAAGCCCUAUUAGUAGGGAAGAAAAUGACGGUAUCUGACCAAGAAGCCCCGGCUAACUCCGUGCCAGCAGCCGCGGUAAUACGGAGGGGGCAAGCGUUAUCCGGAUUUACUGGGCGUAAAGGGAGCGUAGGCGGGGUUGUAAGUCAGAUGUGAAAGCCUGUAGCGUAACCCCGGGACUGCAUUUGAAACUGUGUCUCUGGAGUAUAGGAGGGGUAGGCGGAAUUCCUGGUGUAGCGGUGAAAUGCGUAGAUAUCAAGAGGAAUAC